UACGUAGGGUCCAAGCGUUAAUCGGAAUUACUGGGCGUAAAGCGUGCGCAGGCGGUUUUGCAAGACCGAUGUGAAAUCCCCGAGCUUAACCUGGGAAUUGCAUUGGUGACUGCACGGCUAGAGUGUGUCAGAGGGGGGUAGAAUUCCACGUGUAGCAGUGAAAUGCGUAGAGAUGUGGAGGAAUACCGAUGGCGAAGGCAGCCCCCUGGGAUAACACUGACGCUCAUGCACGAAAGCGUGGGGAGCAAACAGG
rnacentral:rRNA from 1 species